AACGAACGCUGGCGGCAUGCCUAACACAUGCAAGUCGAACGAGACCUUCGGGUCUAGUGGCGCACGGGUGCGUAACGCGUGGGAACCUGCCCUUAGGUUCGGAAUAACUCCCCGAAAGGGGUGCUAAUACCGGAUAAUGUCUUCGGACCAAAGAUUUAUCGCCUUUGGAUGGGCCCGCGUUGGAUUAGCUAGUUGGUAGGGUAAAAGCCUACCAAGGCGACGAUCCAUAGCUGGUCUGAGAGGAUGAUCAGCCACACUGGGACUGAGACACGGCCCAGACUCCUACGGGAGGCAGCAGUGGGGAAUAGUGGAAAAUGGGCGAAAGCCUGAUCCAGCAAUGCCGCGUGAGUGAUGAAGGCAUUAGGGUUGUAAAGCUCUUUUACCCGGGAUGAUAAUGACAGUACCGGGAGAAUAAGCUCCGGCUAACUCCGUG
rnacentral:rRNA from 1 species